rnacentral:misc_RNA from 1 species
CGCACAUUGCGCCUAUUGGUAUUCCAAUAGGCAUGCCUGUUCGAGCGUCAUUUAAAUCUUCAAGCUUUGCUUGGUGUUGGGUGCUGUCCGUCGUUUCUUCUGCGGACUUACCUUGAAUAAAUUGGCAGCCAGCAUUUGGUAUGUUGGAGCGCAGCACAUUUUGCGUCCUUGACCAUAGUAGCAGGUGUCCAGAAAGCUCAUUCUAACGUUUGACCUCGGAUCAGGUAGGGAUACCCGCUGAACUUAA